CAAAUUAGGGCAUUUAAUUCGGCAGAGGUGAACUAGGGCAAUUUCUUCCCUAUCUUCACUUGAAGCUUCUUUUCCAUCUUGAUUCCAAACAUGGUUCGGUAGAGGUGAAGUGGUGAACUGGAGCAAUUUCUUUCCCAUCUCCACUUGAAGCUUCUUUUCCAUCUUGAUUCCAAACAAAUUCGGCAGAGGUGAGGUGAGGUAGAGCCGCAGAGGUAAACUGGGCAGAGGUGAAUUACAGGCCGUCUCCGUUGCUUCUCUCUCUCUGACCCUUUUUCUCCUUGCUCCUCCUGUGAGUUUUUUUAUGAGCUUUGGAGUUGUGGAAAAUUUGUUGUUUCUACAAAAUUUUAGAGCUAUCUCAUAGCUAGAAAAAAUUCACAUGAUCAUUGUCUCAAUGCUUGGCCAUACUUGCUUCAAAUUAAAGAAGUAAAACCCUUGUCACAUCUCCCCAAGGUGUGGACGGCCUUAAAAUUCAUUAAACUCUGAAGGUUUAUAAAUCUUGAAGUUUCUGAUAACAAUUUAAUAAAGGGAUAAUUUGGGAAACUUCCCCUCAAAUUUACCUCAAGAUCACUUAGCAGCCCCCAAUUUCAUGAUUAUAUUGGCAAGGUUACUGCUUGAUCCUCCUGGCCCAUAGCGAGUUACCUUUAAAUUUCAAGUAACAUUAAGUUUACGUUAAGCCCAGAAGUUCUUUUCAAGUCUCUAUUUCUGGUAAUUUCGUACGUCUGAUAUAACUUGGCUAUUUGCAGAGAAUCACUAUAGAUUCACAAUUUAUAGGACCUAGCAGUAUUUCCUUCCUUUUGUUUUUCGCCUUAUUGUUUUGUGUUUGAUGUAUCUUUUUGUUGUGAAUAUUCGGGUAUGUUAUCUUUUUUGUUGCAUUUGUGUCAUUGAAUCCCACUUUGAAAUGGGUAUGGCUCACCAAGGUGUAGCUUUGGGAAAACUGAUAUGGUAUAUUCAAAAGUAAUUCAGUUUACUCUACAUUUAAAUUUCUUUUACCUGAAGUUUUGUUUGAGAGUUAAUUAGACUAUGCACGCUGCAUUAUGGAUGCUGCUCUGUUGUACGUACAAGGCUUCUACUCUUGUGCUUAGCUUCUAUUGAUCUCUGCCUUCAAUAUUUGAUUGUAGAAGGCGUCUACCCUUUGUGCUUUUCAAUAUUUAGGUUCCUUGUCUUUAAUUGCAACGUAAACAAGUUUUUUAUUGGGUUGUUAACUUGUUACCACUAUGAUUAAGGGUGUUAAAAUUUAUUUUAUUACCUAACUAUGAAAUAAUCAUAGCUGACUUUCUUAGAUGUAUGUAAUAUGUUUGAUCCAGAUAUCAUGGCUGGUUCCUUAUGAAUAUUCUAACAUAUUUAGCAGUGUUUAAAUGUCUUCUUCCGCGUCAAAGAAACAAAGUAGAAAAAAUGCACUGGGUGCUCGAUCGAAUCCUGGGUGGGAUCAUGGAAUUGAAAUUGAUGCUGACAAAAAACAAGUUCAGUGUAAAUACUGUGGAAUUACUCGAGCAGGUGGUGUGUAUAGGCUUAAACAUCAUUUAGCUUGUACACAUGUAAAUGUUGAACCAUGUCCCGACGUUCCUGAAGAUGUUAGAACACAAAUGUUUGAUUUACUUAGUGCAAGUUUUGAGGAAUCAAGGAAAAAAAAAAAACAAAGGGUUAGUACCAUGUAUGAUUUAGAAGAAGAAGAAGGAGAAGUUAAGCAGCAGGCUAAGAAAUGUUCGAUGGAAAAUUUUGUUGUGAGAAAACCUGGAGGGUCGAAUGUAAGACAAACAACCAUAAAUAAGAAAUGGAAGAAACAAGAUAGAGAUGAAGUUUGUCAAAUCAUGGUUAGGUGGUUUUAUACAAGUGCCAUUCCAUUUAAUGCUGUAAAUAAUCCUUUGUUUCCUUUAAUGAUUAAAAAAUUGGAAGAAAAUGGAAAAGGGCUUAAACCACCUUCGUACCAUGAAAUGAGAAUGACAUUUUUGAAAAAAGAGGUGAAAGAGACAUUGAACUUGCUCAAUACCUACAAAAUAGAGUGAAAAAAAACUGGUUGUACUAUUAUGUCUGAUAGGUUGUCUGACCAAAGAAAGAGAACAAUGAACAAUUUUCUUGUGAAUAGUCCAGCUGGUACUGUGUUCUUAUCUUCUAUAGACACCACUGAUAUUUCAAAAACAACUCAAAAGUUAUUUGAAUUGUUAGAUGGUAUUGAGGAAAAAAUUGGAGAGGAUAAUGUUGUGCAGGUCAUCACCGAUAAUGCUUCUAAUUAUAAAGCAGCUGGAAAAAUAUUGAUAGAAAAGAGAAAAAGAUUGUUUUGGACCCCUUGUGUUGCUCAUUGCAUUGAUCUAAUGUUGGAAGAUUUUCAAAAGUUUGAUUCGCUCCACAAAGUCACAAUACAAAAAGCAAAAUCGGUGGUUACAUAUAUUUAUUCAUGGGGUACAGUUAUUAAUUGGAUGAAAGAGUUCACCAAUGGCAAGAAGUUGAUUAGGCCUGGAGUUACUCGCUUUGCUACUUCAUACUUGACUAUGAGACGUCUAAGCGAGUUGAAAGGGAAUUUGUUUACCUUUUUCUCUUCGAGUAAGUGGAAAACAAGUACAUAUGCUAGGAGAAGAAAGGGAAAAAAAUUGAAAGCAUCAUUUUCGAUAAUCAACAAUUUUGGCCAAAUAUGGAGCUAUGUUUAAAGAUAGCUUCACCUCUCAUCAAAGUAUUGAGGAUGGUGGAUUCUGAAGAAAAACCUGUCGUGGGUUUUCUCUAUAAAGCUAUUGAUCAGGCGAAAGAAGAAAUCAAACAAAAUGUGAACAAUGUUCGAAAGAGAUGGUUCCCGAAUCCAAUGAAAGGGUGAAAAUUGAUUUGCAAUUAGAUGAUUUUCGACAUGCACAUGGAUUAUUUGGCCAUGAGAAUGCUGUACUAACAAGAAACAAGAAAUCUCCUGCUAAUUGGUGGGAAUCUUAUGGGGAUGAAUGUCCAGAGUUGAAAAAUUUUGCCGUUUGAGUUCUCAGUUUAACUUGUAGAUCUUCUGGAUAUGAGCAAAAUUGGAGUGCAUUUGAAUUGGUACACUCCAAGAGAAGAAACCGUUUGGCUCAAAAAAGAAUGAAUGAUCUUGUAUUUGUGAUGUACAACUUGAAAUUAAGAGAGAAACAAAGACAAAAGCAACGUAUUACGGAAGAAAUUCCUUUUGAGGAUUUGCCUUCAGAUGAUGAAUGGGUGACGGAGAAAAAAAAUCCAACUCUUCCAAGAGAGAAUAGCUGGUUCCGAGUUUUAGAUGAUAAUCCCAUAUGUGACACUUCAGAUGAAGAGGGAAAUGUAGAUGAUGAAAUUGAAAUACUUACAAGAAAUGUGUAGAGAGCUUAUAAUCAUGAAGGUCGUGAAACACAUGCCCGUAGAAGACAAGUUAAUAAAAUGAAAGAGAUUCAUGUUAUUGAUGAAAAUGAUGGGCCUUCGACAGAAUUCGAUCGUCAAGAUGAUGAUUACCUUGAUAUGGUUCCCGAAAAUGAUGUUCAAAUGGGAACUAAUGAUCUGGAUACUAAUUUAGAUGGUGAUGAAGAUAAUGCCGAAGAUGGAUCCCAACAGAAUUGGGAUGGCGAAGAUGAUUGGGAAAAUACUGAUUUUAAUAAUAUGGAUUAUG